CUGCAGCCUCGUCGGCAAAGAGCAGGAAAUUCUGAAAAAAGCCUUAAAAAUGCUCCGAAACAGGAGGGAGGACCUCCGAAGGUCAGGAAAGAAGAGAGAAGGACUUCAGCUUCACUCCAACGACGUGUAAGACUAAUGAAAAAAGGUGGG